GCGCCCGUAGCUCAGGUGGAUAGAGCAUCUGCCUUCUAAGCAGAUGGCCGCAGGUUCGAGUCCUGCCGGGCGCACCA
rnacentral:tRNA from 1 species